rnacentral:rRNA from 1 species
AUUGAACGCUAGCGGGAUGCUUUACACAUGCAAGUCGAACGGCAGCGCGGACUUCGGUCUGGCGGCGAGUGGCGAACGGGUGAGUAAUGUAUCGGAACGUGCCCAGUAGCGGGGGAUAACUACGCGAAAGCGUAGCUAAUACCGCAUACGCCCUACGGGGGAAAGCAGGGGAUCGUAAGACCUUGCACUAUUGGAGCGGCCGAUAUCGGAUUAGCUAGUUGGUGAGGGAACGGCUCACCAAGGCGACGAUCCGUAGCUGGUUUGAGGGGACGACCAGCCACACUGGGACUGAGACACGGCCCAGACUCCUACGAGAGGCAGCAGUGGGGAAUUUUGGACAAUGGGGGCAACCCUGAUCCAGCCAUCCCGCGUGUGCGAUGAAGGCCUUCGGGUUGUAAAACACUUUUGGCAGGAAAGAAACGUCGCGGGCUAAUACCCCGUGGAACUGACGGUACCUGCAGAAUAAGCACCGGCUAACUACGUG